UUCGGAUUCUGUGUCUCCCUCUCUCUCUGCCCCUAUCCUGCUCGCUCGCUCUCUCUCUCUCUCUCUCUCUCCCUCAAAAAUAAAUAUUAAAACAAAAACAAAACACAACCUAAUUUAUAGACGUGAAAUCUCCUACUCUUACAACUUUUCCAGGAUUUUGUCGAAGUGACGGUUUCCUCUGAACCUCCAAGUUCACACUGAACUCCAGGUAUCCUGAUGCUUCAUCCAGUGCCUAACCUGCGGUGCCCAAAGCGGUGUAUCCAACAAAGUCCCCAGGUUCUUUUCCUAGAAGGAAAUCCCUCUGUAGAUCUGGUCACAGGAGUUGCGAGCCACCCCUGCAGCGACCAUAAACCAGAUGUCUGCAGGCGGCUACUGGCAGGCUCCUCUGUGUUUCCAGACCCUUCUGGGGCCCUUCCUUCCGCCAUCAUGGCCCGUCUCCGGUAUAACUUCUCCUUCGGUCCUCGGGAAAAGUGAGGCACCUAGAUUCUACUUGUGCGCUGACUGUCCGUGAAAUCACGUUCAACCUUCAACGUUCAACGUGGGGGUUCCGACGCUACUUUGUGGCAUUCCUUGAAUCUACGGGCAGGAGAAAGGCAUAAUAGGAAAUGACUUCUUCACCUGGUGUGGUGGGGUAGAAAGCCCCCAGCUGGUCUUGGGAUCAGAAGACUUGGCGUCAAUGUCAGCUUGGACCCAUUGCUAGUGGGCACUCUAGCAACGCCUUGUCCUGAAUUGCAUUUUAAUACACCACCCCGUUUUAUCAUCCUUCUUACGCGGAUAAUAACGGUGCUUACAGCCAAAGAAGAUGUAUUACCAUUACAGCAUUCCCAUAAAACAUGAAGUGAUCAAACAUCCCGGCUCAUUUUCUUAAAUAUCGUACCAGUGAGAUUUACACACGUCUGCUUCCUUCAAGCUCGGCCAGCUUUCAAGAUGCAUUGUCUCCAGGGCGCGGCCCUUCGUAAAAAUGGGCUCUUUGGCCCCACGUGAGUUCCUCUCUCAUGUCAAGCCCUUAAGGAAAUAAUUUCGGAAAGCGUCCUGGCCCACACAUCUGAGGGUCCCUCUUUGCUUGUGGGAGAUGGUCGCAUUCUUGGAAAUGUUUCGGGAGGACACCACAAAGGGGAACUUGAGGGAGUUAAUGUUGGGGACUGGCCCGUCUGAAAGAGAAGCCUGGGGGCGCCUGGGUGGCUCGGUCGGUUAAGCAUCCAACUUCAGCUCAGGUCACGAUCUCGCGGUCCGUGAGUUCGAGCCCCGCGUCGGGCUCUGUGCUGACCGCUCAGAGCCUGGAGCCUGUUUCAGAUUCUGUGUCUCCCUCUCUCUCGGCCCCUCCCCUGUUCAUGCUCUGUCUCUCUCUGUCUCAAAAAUAAAUAAACGUUAAAAAAAUUUUUUUUGAAAGAG
rnacentral:lncRNA from 1 species